rnacentral:rRNA from 1 species
AGAGUUUGAUCAUGGCUCAGGAUGAACGCUAGCUACAGGCUUAACACAUGCAAGUCGAGGGGAAACGACAUCGAAAGCUUGCUUUUGAUGGGCGUCGACCGGCGCACGGGUGAGUAACGCGUAUCCAACCUGCCCAUCACUUGGGGAUAACCUUGCGAAAGUAAGACUAAUACCCAAUGAUAUCUCUAGAAGGCAUCUGAAAGAGAUUAAAGAUUUAUCGGUGAUGGAUGGGGAUGCGUCUGAUUAGCUUGGUUGGCGGGGUAACGGCCACCAAAGCAACGAUCGAGUAGGGGUUCUGAGACGGAAGGUCCCCAGAUUGGAACUGAGACACGGUCCAAACGUCUACGGGAGCA